rnacentral:rRNA from 1 species
GACGAACGCUGGCGGCGUGCUUAACACAUGCAAGUCGAACGGAAAGGCCCUGCUUUUGUGGGGUGCUCGAGUGGCGAACGGGUGAGUAACACGUGAGUAACCUGCCCUUGACUUUGGGAUAACUUCAGGAAACUGGGGCUAAUACCGGAUAGGAGCUCCUGCUGCAUGGUGGGGGUUGGAAAGUUUCGGCGGUUGGGGGUGGACUCGCGGCUUAUCAGCUGGUUGGUGGGGUAGUGGCUUACCAAGGCUUUGACGGGUAGCCGGCCUGAGAGGGUGACCGGCCACAUUGGGACUGAGAUACGGCCCAGACUCCUACGGGAGGCAGCAGUGGGGAAUAUUGCACAAUGGGCGGAAGCCUGAUGCAGCAACGCCGCGUGCGGGAUGACGGCCUUCGGGUUGUAAACCGCUUUCGCCUGUGACGAAGCGUGAGUGACGGUAAUGGGUAAAGAAGCACCGGCUAACUACGUG